rnacentral:tRNA from 1 species
GGCCCCAUAGCACAACGGAUAGUGCAGUGGUUUCCUAAACCAUUGAUCCUGGUUCGAUUCCGGGUGGGGCCG